rnacentral:lncRNA from 1 species
AUUACGAGGAAAGUGGGCAGUUAUAAAACGAUCAAGCAGUUUUUAGGCGGUUGAUCACAAAGAGAUCAUCCAGGGAGUAUAAAAGGAAGGAAAGACAUAGAGCAAAGACCCCGAAUAAAAAACUCUCGAACAGAGAACAUGUAAUUUUAAAUUUCUUAGCUUAGAUUUAAACACUUCUUUCAGUAACUCGUGUGCUUGCGCCCCUUGGAG